rnacentral:lncRNA from 1 species
AAGUUGGUGCUGUUUUUGAUUUUUGGCUUUUGGGGUCUUUUCUUUGGUUUUCGGUUUUUUGAGACAGAGUCUCCCUGUGUAGUUCAGGCUGGGCUUGAACUCACAGUGUAACCCAGGCUGGCCUUAAAUUCAUGGCGAUCCUCCAGCCUCAGCCUCCUGAGUGCCGGGACUGCAGGUGUGCGCCACCGCGGUUGCUGGUGCUGUAUUUUUAGCUCACUUGGUUAGUGGGGAAAGUGCCGUUACUGAGCUGCCCAAGUCAGCCUGCCCUGUCAAACCAGCAACUGCGUCCCCAUUCUUCCUCUGUUAGGAGAGAUCUGACUGCAUUUUUCUAUUCAAAUAAACACGCUAAGACCAUCUCCAUGGCAACCGGCUCACUUCUGAAUUCACAGCUCCGGAGAACCUUGGGGAGAGUGCUCCUGAGUGCAGGAAAGUGCUGUCGUCUUCAGUACUCUCCGUUCUCCUUUACAUCACGCACCCAUCAGUGGGGAGAGCUUCUUUGGCAAUAGUCAGGGGACAGAAAGGCAGAGGUUGUUCAUAAAGAUCGUCAUUGUGCCAGGCACAGUGGCACACACCUAUGUCCCAGCUUCUCAGGAGGCAGAGGCAGAAGGAUCCCCAAGUUUGAGCCCAGCCUGGGCAACUUAGCAAGACCCCAGAAAGACCUGGAAAUGCAGCUCAGCGCUAAUCACACACACACACACACACACACACACACACACACACACACACACACAGUUUGUCGUCAUGGAGGUUUGGUUUUGUGUUUUGAGACAGGAUCUCACUAUGUAGCUCAGACUGGCCAAGAACUCAAGGUGAUCUUCCUGCCUCAGCCUCCUGAGGGCUGGAUGACUGGCGUGUGCCCCCGUGCCUGGCCUCCUGGGACUAAUUCUUCAUUCUAUCCAGAUGCACGGUUGGGUCACUCUGACAUAGGUGACGGUCGCCUGCUGUCUCCAGUAUCCCCAGCACUGCUGCCUCCCUCGGGACCACACACCUGGACCCCGAGGCCGGGCCUAAACUCAGCAGGUGCCGCCGGUCCCGGCCCCCGUGGACGUCGCUUCACCUCGGGCCUCAGCGUCACGGUCCCCUCCAGGACAGAGCUGGGACGGACGCUGGGUGAGCAGCCCAGGCCUGACAGCCUGCAGCCCUCCAGCGCUCUUCUCUGUGUUUCUUACUCUUUCUUUUUUCUUCCUCCGUUUCCUCAGAUUGAGCCCAGGAAAUGCAGGCCCACAUCCACUUUUGUUCCAUUGUUCUUGUUUGUUGGUUUCGGUUUGUUUUAUUUUGAGUGAGGAUCUUGCUCAAUUACCCAUGGUGGCCUUGAACCUGGGAUCUCCCUGCCUCAGCCUCCCCAGUGCUGGGAUCACAGGUGUGCACCACCGUGCCCGGCACUGCAGUUUUCUUCUUUUUUUUUUUUUUUUUUUU